UACAAAAAUGCAGGAGCCUCCUUGAGAAA
rnacentral:piRNA from 1 species